rnacentral:rRNA from 1 species
CAUUACAAAAAGGCCCAAAUAGUAUGCUUGUGCAUAUCAACUGCUAUUUGAACCUUUAUUCUACCUUGAUUUUUUGCGUACUCCUGUUUCCUUGGUAGGCUUGCCUGCCAGCUGGACAAAUCUAUAACCCUUUUAAUAUUUAAUCAGCGUCUGAGUAAAUUUAAUAAUUACAACUUUCAACAACGGAUCUCUUGGUUCUGGCAUCGAUGAAGAACGCAGCGAAAUGCGAUAAGUAGUGUGAAUUGCAGAAUUCAGUGAAUCAUCGAAUCUUUGAACGCACAUUGCGCCCCUUGGUAUUCCAUGGGGCAUGCCUGUUCGAGCGUCAUUUGUAAUCUCAAGCUAUGCUUGGUGGUUGGGCAACUUGUCUCAGUUAAGCCUGCAGACAUGCCUUAAAUAUAUUGGCAGCCAGUGUUUUGGUUUGAAAUGUGCAGCACAGCGCCUCAAGCUAUUUAAUACAGGCAACCAUGAAGAAUUAUCACUCUUUUGACCUCGGAUCAGGUAGGG